ensembl:lncRNA
AUUGAACAAUAACAAUAUAUUGAUCAAUAUAUAAUCUUUUUCUGCAGUAGCUUGCUGUAAUAUCACUAGUAUAAUACUGUAAUAUGACAAGCAAUAUUGUGCUGUAAAACAUCUUCAAUGAGGAGGAGCAGUAGGACAUAGUAAAAACAAAAAUAGUAUUUAAUGUAUUUACAAUAAACAUACAAUCAUGUAAGUCAUAUACUUAACCUAAAUGUUUAAAUAUAAAUGUAUGUAUUUUGAGAAGAGAAAAAAUAAGAAAAAAUAUUUGAAAGAAGCAUUUGGAAAACUCUUCAGUGUCUGUUGACACAUUGAAAAUAGUGGAGAUAUUUUCAUAUAUUUUUCCUUUUCAAAUACAACUUGCAGGGUUUAAUGAGCUUUAUGUCUUCAUCCCUUCUUUGGGUAAACUGACACAUUCAUUAACACAUUUAACAACAUGGAUGUCCAUACUGUGGAUGUCCAUACUGUAGCUGUGUUCUGCAGGGUUUGGUUCAUUCCACUUAAACUCUAGUCAAUUCUGAAAGUAAACCAAAAUUACUGUAAGUAUACAUUUUCCUAAUUGAAGGCAUAGUGGAGAAUUUGAAUUUCAGCGCACUGCUUUAAUUGUCUGGAAAUGUCAACUAGCCUGGUUCCCUCCAGGUUAAGAUGCAUGUCUCAGAUUCAGCUCAAGGGGAGUUCAAUGCUUCUUGAACCAGAUUAUCAGCUGCUAAAACUCAAAAGGUCUGUACCACAAGGCAACAAUAUUAAGGGCAAAACUUUACAAGUGAGCAAGUAUUUACCAAAGUGCAAAAAAAAAAAAAUGAAUAAAUACACAAACCUAGUUAUAAUCUUUCAGUGUUGCUUAAUCUGAAAACCUCCUUCAACAAUGCGCCAUCAUGAGACGAUUAUAUUUCAUUCCAAUUUCAGCAACACUUUGUCACCUACUCUAAAAGUUUCGUAUUGAAUCAUACUGCCAGAUUGUAAUGGGGUUUGCGGACCUGGCACAUUUCUUUUGCAUGAGGAAGAAGUUGCCCUAAAUCUCAGCAACAGAAUGACAUGGUGUUUACAAAAGGCAAUGUUACACAAGUUCAUUUGUUCAUCACAAGGCAAAAAGCUUCAGGCACCAUCUUGCCCAAAGGAAACAGUCCUCCUGCCGCCGUGAAGAAAAGAAAGCCAGAAGCAGUAGAAGGUCCUGUCCCAAAUGGCUCACUAUUCGAACAUGGUGCACUAUUUCUUACCAGAGGUUUGAACAAGGCUCUUAGGGGCUUCCGGUCAAAAGAAGUGCACUACCUAAGGAACAAGGUGCCAUUGGGGACAUUAGACCACAUCAUACACCCUACAGUACACUGGCUGCUUUAAGAGAAUAGGCUACAUUUUACAGUGCACACGAUCAUAUGACACGCCCAGCCGGCCAGCCUCCUAAAGAUGACCCACCACAGCGCGGAGCCAACAGAACUGGCAGAGAGGCAGGCAUGGGGGGGGAGUAGGCACGGCUAGGAGCUGACAACCAUGAGUGAGCUUAGCUUCUAGCAUCGAGAAGUGACCUCUGCUGUAUCAGUCACCCCUAUGUCUUCCGUCGGAUCAAAGUAACAAAGAAGUACCAAGUAGCUUUGCUAUUAAUGAAAAAUUUAAAAUGCAUUGUUGAAAUUGACACAGGGAAAUUUCACUGGUAGAAAAGUGUACAUUAUUAACAAGUAACACAUCCUAAAUUACAUUGUAUUCUAGACCAAUAUAUAGCAUUUAUAGGCAAUAUUUUUGGAACAGACACCUAUAUCAUUAAUGGUACGACCACAUCAAUGUUGGGAUCCCCCCCAAGGCUACACACAGCUGAAGCUCCUUGGUCUGGAGUGAAGUCCCCCCUGGACGCUCAUCAUGGGUAUGCAUUGGGGAAGGAGAAACUGAUCCUAGAUCUGUACCUUGGGGAAAUUUAUUCUAGAUCUGUAACUGGGGGAAAUUGAUCCUAGAUCUGUAUCUGGGGGAAAUUGAUCCUAGAUCUGUACCUGGGAGAAAUUAAUCCUAGAUCUGUACCUGUGGGAAGCGGAUCCUAGAUCUGUACCUGUGGGAAGCGGAUCGUAGAUCUGUACCUAGGGGAAGCAGAUCCUAGAUCUGUCCCUCGGGGAAGCUGAUCCUAGACCUGUACCUGGGGGAAAUUGAUCCUAGAUCUGUACCUGGGGGAAAUUGAUCCCAGACCUGUACCUGGGGGAAAUUGAUCCUAGAUCUGUAACUGGGGGAAAUUGAUCCCAGAUCUGUACCUGGGGGAAAUUGAUCCUAGAUUUGUACCUGGGGGAAGCUGAUCUUAGAUCUGUACCUGGGGGAAAUUGACCCUAGAUGUGUACCUAAGGAAAACUAAUCCUAGAUCUGUACCCAGGGGAAGCUGAUCUUAGAUCUGUACCUGGGGGAAGUUGAUCUUAGAUCUGUACCUGGGGGAAAUUGACCCUAGAUGUGUACCUAGGGGAAACUGAUCCUAGAUCUGUACCUGGGGGAAUUUGAUCCUAGAUGUGUACCUAGGGGAAGCUGAUCCUAGAUCUGUACCUGGGGGAAGCUGAUCCUAGACGUGUACCUAGGGGAAACUUCACCCGGAGCCCAGAUCCUGUGUUUUGUGAUGUUUCGUUUUGGUAAAAAACACUUCCAUACAUGGGCAUUACAUUGGGUCACUUUGGCACAAAGAUGAAACACAGCACAGACAGAUGAAUAAUACAGUGAUCAGGAAGAUACAUGACGACCAGGAUUUAACCAACAAUUUAGACCACAGCCAAGAGCUACUCUAGAAGAGAGAAAGUCAUAACCAGUGUGUAAUUUUCAGAUUACACUAUCGCCAACUCAAUCAGGUAAAAAACAAGCUUCUCAGAAAACAAGUGGUCUAGGAACAGUCUUGCCUCAUACUGUAGCCUAAAUGAAAAGUAACGAAACAGAACAGGAGGUGACAAAUCCAAGAUUUCUGGAUAUAAAGUAUAACAAUGAACUGUACCUGUACAUUCUGUUGAAUAUAACCAACACAUCCUCACCUCAACACUGUCUCAUGACCUGUUGAAUAUAACCACCACAUCCUCACCUCAACACUGUCUCAUGACCUGUUGAAUAUAACCAACACAUCCUAACCUCAACACUGUCUCAUGACCUGUUGAAUAUAACCGACACAUCCUCACCUCAACACUGCUUGUGAUCUCUGUUGAACAUAAUAAACAAAUCCUCAGCUCAGCACUGUCUUGUGACCUCUGUAGUGACCAACAGCACUGAUUGUCUUAGAAGUCAUGGUAGUUAGUUCUAGUUUUCAGGGUAAUCAUGGUAGUCAGACAUGAUAGUCAUGGUAAUUAGUUUUAGUUUUCAGGGUAAUCAUGGUACUCAGACAUGAUAGUCAUAGUAGUUAGUUUUAGUUUUCAGGGUAAUCAUGGUAGUCAGACAUGAUAGUCAUGGUAAUUAGUUUUAGUUUUCAGGGUAAUCAUGGUACUCAGACAUGAUAGUCAUGGUAAUUAGUUUUAGUUUUCAGGGUAAUCAUGGUAGUCAGACAUGAUAUUCAUAGUAGUUAGUUUUAGUUUUCAGGGUAAUCAUGGUAGUCAGACAUGAUAGUCAUGGUUGUUAUGGAGGUGAGUCUUGACAGUCAUGGAACUGAAUCUUGGUAGUGAGUCUUGACAGUCAUGGAACUGAAUCUUGGUAGUGAGUCUUGACAGUCAUGGAACUGAAUCUUGGUAGUGAGUCUUGACAGUCAUGGAACUGAAUCUUGGUAGAGAGUCUUGACAGUCAUGGAACUGAAUCUUGGUAGUGAGUCUUGACAGUCAUGGAACUGAAUCUUGGUAGUGAGUCUUGACAGUCAUGGAACUGAAACUUGGUAGUGAGUCUUGACAGUCAUGGAACUGAAUCUUGGUAGUGAGUCUUGACAGUCAUGGAACUGAAUCUUGGUAGUGAGUCUUGACAGUCAUGGAACUGAAUCUUGGUAGUGAGUCUUGACAGUCAUGGCAGUUCAUUUUACUUAUCAUGGUAAUGAGUCAUGGUUGUAAUGGUAGCUAGUCAUGGUGCUCCAGGCAGUUUAUGGGGCCUGUCACUCUGACCUACCAGCAUGGUCCUUUAUCAGUCUAUGGGCCCUGUCACUCUGACCAACCAACAUGAUCCUAUAUCAGUCUAUGGGGCCUGUCACUCUGACCAACCAGCAUGGUCCUAUAUCAGUCUAUGGGCCCUGUCACUCUGACCUACCAGCAUGGUCCUAUAUCAGUCAAUGGGCCCUGUCACUCUGACUGACCAGCAUGGUCCUAUAUCAGUCUAUGGGGCCUGUC